rnacentral:rRNA from 1 species
UACGUAGGGGGCUAGCGUUGUCCGGAUUUAUUGGGCGUAAAGAGCGCGCAGGCGGUCGUUCAAGUCGCGUGUGAAAGCCCCCGGCUCAACUGGGGAGGGUCAUUCGAUACUGUCCGACUCGAAGGCAGGAGAGGGAAGCGGAAUUCCCGGUGUAGUGGUGAAAUGCGUAGAUAUCGGGAGGAACACCAGUGGCGAAGGCGGCUUUCUGGCCUGUUCUUGACGCUGAGGCGCGAAAGCCAGGGGAGCAAACGGG